AUUAGCUAGUUGGUGGGGUAAUGGCUCACCAAGGCGACGAUCCGUAACUGGUCUGAGAGGAUGAUCAGUCACACUGGAACUGAGACACGGUCCAGACUCCUACGGGAGGCAGCAGUGGGGAAUAUUGGACAAUGGGCGAAAGCCUGAUCCAGCCAUGCCGCGUGUGUGAAGAAGGUCUUCGGAUUGUAAAGCACUUUAAGUUGGGAGGAAGGGCAGUAAGUUAAUACCUUGCUGUUUUGACGUUACCGACAGAAUAAGCACCGGCUAACUCUGUGCCAGCAGCCGCGGUAAUACAGAGGGUGCAAGCGUUAAUCGGAAUUACUGGGCGUAAAGCGCGCGUAGGUGGUUUGUUAAGUUGGAUGUGAAAGCCCCGGGCUCAACCUGGGAACUGCAUCCAAAACUGGCAAGCUAGAGUACGGUAGAGGGUGGUGGAAUUUCCUGUGUAGCGGUGAAAUGCGUAGAUAUAGGAAGGAACACCAGUGGCGAAGGCGACCACCUGGACUGAUACUGACACUGA
rnacentral:rRNA from 1 species